rnacentral:rRNA from 1 species
UACAGAGGGGGCAAGCGUUGUUCGGAAUUACUGGGCGUAAAGGGCGCGUAGGCGGCCGCCUAAGUCAGACGUGAAAUCCCUCGGCUCAACCGGGGAACUGCGUCUGAUACUGGGUGGCUUGAAUCCGGGAGAGGGACGCGGAAUUCCAGGUGUAGCGGUGAAAUGCGUAGAUAUCUGGAGGAACACCGGUGGCGAAGGCGGCAUCCUGGACCGGUAUUGACGCUGAGGCGCGAAAGCCAGGGGAGCAAACGGG